AAAAUUACUACUUAUUAAUUUGAAUAAUUGUUGUACUACUUGUUAUAGGUAAAAAUGUCCGGCUCGUACACUUUAGAUAUAGCUAGAUAAUAAGAAUCAACCAAGUUAACAAGAACGGGUUUUACUUUAACAUUUAUAAUGAUAUUUAACAUUUCUAUUGAUUUUACUUUUGAUUAGGUAAAUCCAUCCGAUAUUAUGAAGAGUUGUACAGUUUGUACAAUUUUAUUUUUACAUUGUGU